rnacentral:ncRNA from 2 species
ACCGGACACAACUGCAUAGGUACCGGGCGGGGGAAAGCCGGCGCGACGCCGGCGCUGACCCGCAGCCGUGAGCGAGAGAGCCCUUUCGUGAGCCGGAACGCCCCGCCCGGGACGAGCGGCUUCC